GACGUAGGGCGCGAGCGUUGUCCGGAUUUAUUGGGCGUAAAGAGCUCGUAGGCGGCUUGUCGCGUCGACUGUGAAAACCCGUGGCUCAACCAUGCGGUCUGCAGUCGAUACGGGCAGGCUAGAAUUCGGUAGGGGAGACUGGAAUUCCUGGUGUAGCGGUGAAAUGCGCAGAUAUCAGGAGGAACACCGGUGGCGAAGGCGGGUCUCUGGGCAGUAACUGACGCUGAGGAGCGAAAGCGUGGGGAGCGAACAGG
rnacentral:rRNA from 1 species